AUGCAUAUCCCCUGGAGAGCUUGUAAAAAUGUAGAUUUUUGACUUAAUAAUCUUGGAUGCAGCCUGAGAGUCCACAUUUCUAACAAGUGCUUAGGUGAUGCCAAU
rnacentral:miRNA from 1 species